AGACCCCUUGAAGACGACGAGGUAGAUAGGGCAGAGGUGGAAGUGCGGUAACGCAUGGAGCUGACUGUUACUAAUAGGUCGAGGGCAUAACCAAA
rnacentral:rRNA from 1 species